GGUGAACGCUGGCGGUAGGCCUAACACAUGCAAGUCGAACGGCAGCACAGUAAGAGCUUGCUCUUACGGGUGGCGAGUGGCGGACGGGUGAGGAAUACAUCGGAAUCUACUUUUUCGUGGGGGAUAACGUAGGGAAACUUACGCUAAUACCGCAUACGACCUACGGGUGAAAGCAGGGGAUCUUCGGACCUUUCGCGAUUGAAUGAGCCGAUGUCGGAUUAGCUAGUUGGCGGGGUAAAGGCCCACCAAGGCGACGAUCCGUAGCUGGUCUGAGAGGAUGAUCAGCCACACUGGAACUGAGACACGGUCCAGACUCCUACGGGAGGCAGCAGUGGGGAAUAUUGGACAAUGGGCGCAAGCAUGAUCCAGCAAUACCGCGUGGGUGAAGAAGGCCUUCGGGUUGUAAAGCCCUUUUGUUGGGAAAGAAAAGCAGCAGGUUAAUACCCCGCUGUUCUGACGGUACCCAAAGAAUAAGCACCGGCUAACUUCGUG
rnacentral:rRNA from 1 species